rnacentral:lncRNA from 1 species
GUGACACCUCCCCACUUAGAUUAGGCACCGUCCUCGGUGUCUGUAAAUUCAUGCAUAUUGAAUAUUUUUUUCUUUUUUUUAAAAAACAUGUGAAAAUAUGUUUGAAUGGUAAUGGUAAAGGGUUAAAUUUUUGUUGGUUCAGAAGGCUUGCAUCCUAUAUAGGUCAGGAGUUUGGGUUGAGCGAGGGGUAUAGGUAUUUGUGGAUUUUGUGACACGUAAUUAGUGAUAUUAUUCCUCUCUCUCUCAGGCUUUAGACGGCUGAAUGGUCGAUGCAACGAGAGGGUACUAGUGGAAUAUAUAUAUAUAUACCCUGGUAUAGAUAUACUUCCACGUUCAGUGGUUUCUGCGUGUCCCUUUUAUGGACGACAGACUCGUUUUCUUUUGACGACGCUGAACGAUCUUAGUCGCGUCUUUUAAUUUUCGGUGAUGCAAAUGAUCUUGCAUUUUAAGGAUGCCUAUGCCAUAGUGGAGAUUCGAGGUGAGUUUACGACGUGUAUUACGGCCAGAGUUGGGAUGAAUGGUGCGGAGGUAGGUAGAGAUGCUUUGCCUGAACUAUUAUUGAAUUUGGAAGUAUCUGAGAAUUCGAUAUGCAUAAAUUUUAUACCUAAAAUUAAGAAUGGAAGAUUUUACACUAAAAAAAUAUUGUUUAAACAUCAGGUAAAAAGACUUAUUAACUAGGACGUUGAGGUAAGUAUAUAUGUAAAAUACGAAAUACGUGGAUUGUGGUUUGUUUCAGACGGUGGUUUGUGUUGACAUCUCGUGGAAAAAGACCGGAUGGGGCGUGGGUGGAACAUCGUAGUUGUCUUCCCUUUUGUAUGUUGACUGCAGUGGCUCCCCUUGCUCAGGCUGAUCGUCGUCAUCUUCGACGGGUCGUGCGAUUUUUCGACGCCGGCUGCAGAUUUUUUUUGUAUACCAUAGAACGUGUGAUCGCAGCAAAUAGAUCAAGAAGUUUGUGGCCAGGAUGAUUUCUCCAUAAAUGGCCAAGGUGGUAUAUUGGGUCUGCCCUUGUCGCUCUCGUUUGUGUGAGGCGAUCUCCAUAAGUUCUAGCUCUAUCUCGCUCAGACUGGCGUCAAAAAUUGGGCCGUUGGCCGACGUUUGACUUACGACUGCAGGCGUCGGGUCUAUUGUUUCGAUGUUCUGAAGGGGCUUGUAAAGUGAAAUAUUCGGAACGAGAACGUUCAGGUCUAGGCUCGAUGCUGGUACAUAUGUUUCUUUGAUGGUUCCCUCGAGUGUUUGGCUUCCCGAGAUGGUUACAUAAUUAGUUUUGGCGAUGCAACCCGGUUUUAGCUUUAGGAUCCCGGUGUCUUUUAUUUCGAUGACUAUUGCCACCUCAUGAUCACAUAGGAUUUGGAUCCUCUCGGGUCGUGGUAGUGAAAAUAACCAUCCGGACAUCGUGUCUAAUUGUUUCCAAUAUGGAGCCUGUUUCUUCACGACUUUGAUGUCGCAGUCCUGGUAUGAGUAGUGUCCCCCAUCUGUCAAUAACAUGAGUUCGCAAUUUUGAUGUCGCGAGACUUCGAAAAUUGGAUAGCUGGGUGAACAGAUUUGAAAGUUGCGCAGGUGUUGGCAUCUGGGCGGGUCAUUUUCAGGUACGAAUGCGUACUGAUCCAGUUCCUUUGAGAUAAUAAUAUGCGAGGCUCUUGGUUGCACGUAUGCCGCUCCUUGACUAUUGUUUCCGAUUUCUUGGGGUAUAGGACAGGGAUGAAGUUUGUAGAGGAGGAAUUUGGUAGGUUCCAACAAAGGGAUGUUAAUUACGAUGAUUAUUUUUUUAUUGUGGUAGGAGGCCGCUAGACGGGAGAUUUUAGAUAGGGUUCCGGAGUGUAUUUCGUCGAGGGGAAUUGGAAAAAGGUAUCGAUGGUGGGUUUCCGUAAAACUUUUGACUAUGAGAUCCAGUGUGCUGGGGUUGAGAAGUUCCGGGUGAAGAAGUCCAAGCUUAAUAAAGUGUAUCGCGUUUACGAUGGCGCGGAGGCUCUCGACAUAUGUUUCGGCUACGUUUCCUAUGCUGUUUCGCCAUUCCAUUAUUGUUUCUCGGGCGUCUAGUGUGGUUGUAGCAUUGUGGAGUGAUUCUGCUAAGUUUUGCCAUUUUAGAUUGUGAGUUUUUUCCAGUUUGUUCAGUCGGUCGGAUAAUUCGUGUAUUUCGGAUUUUACGACGUGAGUUAGAUUCUUGGCGAGGACAGCUAUUUUCUUUUGGUCCUCGUAUAGUUUGUCUAUUUCGGUGUUAAAAUAGGAGGCGUCGUCCGUGGUGAGGGUCCCGAAUAGGCUCUUGCUGAUUGUCCCGACGAAUCCAAAUGGGAUGCUUCGUCUGCUGGCAAUUGGUUCGAUUCCCUUUUGUUUUCGGAUGUAGGCGAAGUAUUUGUUGAUGAUGGUGCUCUUCAGUGUGAUAUCGUCUUUGUUGAUAAGCGUUUUGCAACGAUUUUCUAGGUGGUACCGGCAUAGGUGUUCCAUUACUUGUACCUCGGCGAACGUUGGUUGGUGGUCCUCGAAUGGUUUCAGAUCUAUAAAUGUGGUGAGUCGCCAUUCGGUGCGUGUAAAGUGGACCUCGUGCAUUGGUUCGUAAUAGAUUCCUGCGCGAUUAGUGAUUUGUUGGAUAUUAUGUGCCUUAAAGGUCCAUGCAUCUUUCAGUCCGAGGGUGAUUAAUAAAAGGGUGGUUCCGAGGAAAAUCAUUUUGUCUAAAAAAAGAAUAUAUUUUAUGUGAAAUUCGAACAGAACUGGUUUUGGUGUUUAUACGAGAAUUAUGGUUAGUGGGUUAUUACGUGUUCCCGUUUCCUUUUGAGAUGUGUGGGUGUGUGAUUGUGUCUGUGGAUACCACUGUCUUCCUUUUUUUUUUUCAGAGUCUAGAAAGUCUAGUAUGUAAGAAUUUGGCUAAUUUGAAUAGGGUAGGGGAAGGGCGCUUAGAGUUUCCGAGUUCGGUUAUUCGAGGAGCUAGAAGGUUCCUCAUUACGCUUCCGAGUCUUCUCGAGAUCGCUGCUAUUCUCUCUAUAUUGAAGUAUAGUCAUGGCUCGGCGUCGGUUUGCAAACGCGUUUGCUGGAAUUUGAGAUGUGAUCUACAUCUCCUUCAUGAAGAGGAGGCGGGGCGAACGGAGCUAUUUACGUCGGCUUAAUGACGAGUGGAAGGAUCGUGUGUAUGAUUUCGAUGCGUUCGGCAUCCGAUGGAUGCUAGAAGGUCGGUGGGGGCAGGAGCAUCCCGACAAUGAUUGGGAUCAUCCUGCUUGGAGCCAUCCCGAUGGGAUUUUUUCUGCAUACGAUCGCGAUUAGUCGGUCGUGUCGGAUUGAUGGAAGAGGAAAGGAGAGAAAGAAAAAAAAAGUAUAUUUUUUUUUCUUUAUUUGUAAGAUGGAGUUUUGGACGGGCUUUCCCAGUGGGAAAGUCGAAUAAAUAUGUAGAAUUUAA